UACGGUGGGUAGUCGCUGCUUGCUGAAAAAUGCAGGUAGAGGAAAGUCGAGACACGUACAGUGUUUAGGCUGUGCCUAAAUACUGUUAAAACGGUGCCCGGCGUAAGCCGGGGCAGGGUGACCUGACGACGGUGAAAAGAGCCUUCCGGGUUCUUAGUAGCCAUAAAGUGCCACAGAAACUAGGUCUUCUGGCAACAGAAGAGUGGAACCGGUAAACUCCACCAACGUGCAACCCAAAUAGGCGGCCUUGAGCCGCGGGUAGGGGCACCCCGAAAAGGGGGAGAAAACUAUAUUUUUUAUGGUUUUCUCAGAUAGAUGGCUACCUUCAACAGAAUCUCGCUUACAGCU
rnacentral:RNase_P_RNA from 1 species